rnacentral:rRNA from 1 species
CGACAUUAACCUGACUUCACGGAAGGGUUGUCUUUAUUAGAUACAGAACCAGCCCACUUCGGUGGUUUUGGAUGAUUCAUGAUAAAUGAACGGAGCGUAUGGCUUGGGCCGACGCUGUGCCAUUCAAUGUUUCUGACCUAUCAGCUAUCGACGGUAGGGUAUUGGCCUACCGUGGCAUUGACGGGUAACGGAGAAUUAGGGUUCNAUUCCGGAGAGGGAGCCCGAGGAAACGGCCGUACCACAUCUAAGGAAGGCAGCAGGCGGCGCAAAUUACCCAAUCCUGACACAAGGGAGGUAGUGACAAGAAUAACAAAGCAGGCCCUUAUGGGCCGCUGCGUUGGGAUGAAGUACAAUUUAAAUCUCUUUACGACUAUCGAUUGGAGGGCAAGUCUGGUGCCAGCAGCCGCGGGUAAUUCCAGCUCCAAAGCAGUAUACUAAGUUGUUGCGGCU